GUGUCAUUUUGUGUAGAAAAUUAACUAAAGUUACUAAACCUAACAACAAAAGCAAUGAUAAAACAGAGUAAAUACAGCUGGGAAAAAAAACUACCUCCUAAAUUAUUCAAACCCCAGUGCAUGAUGGGAACACCAUAAUCAGAAAAUGUAUAAUGCUGAUAUUUACGCUUUAAUUUCUACAAGCUUGAAUACUCGGGUUUCAGUCACGUGAUUAUGAUGACGCGCGUGGGCGGGAAGAAGAGCAGAUGGAGGGCAUGAAGUAAAAAUGGAGAAUACGUCUAUAGAGGAAAGCGUUGUAGAGAGUCCGUAUUGCACGGAUUUAGAUCCAGUUUCAAGACAAAGAUACGAAGAAUUAGGAGAUAUGUUGGGCGUGACCCGUUCCUCAUGAAGAUGAGUGAGUUUUCGGUAGAACUUAAAGAUUUACCGACAGUCGCGGCUGUUGACAUCACGAACUGGUCCUUCAGACAUCGUACUACACCAGAAAGCAAAGGAAGGCCUAUAAAAGUCUGGAGUCACAUAACUUUUUUGUCAACGGGUGGGUCCACGACCUCGGUGUCAAACGGCUACGCGAUGAUCAUCAUUUGGUCUUCGCAAGAGUGUUUGUUCUUAUAUUGUUUUAUGUGCUAAGAUGCUAGCAGUAGCGCAACACAUUUGAACGACAACGUUAGUCUGACAGUUGUUUAUGUUUUAAGGUAAACCACUCUCAGGGAUAGAACGAAACACCUUUGAAGACCUGGAUUAUUGCGAAGGAGGAUGGAGAAGUCAUUGCAGCUCAUUGCAAUUGCAUGGCAGGACUAUCAGAAUCGUGUUCUCAUGUAGGGGCAGUUCUUUUUUCCAUUGAAGUUGGGGUAAAGAUGCGAGAUACAGUUUCCUGCACAACAGAGCAGUGCAAGUGGCUGAUGCCAUCACAUGUAAAAAAGGUAAGGUGACACACGUUCAUAGCAAACCAAAUGUGGGACAGAGAAUGUUAUUUUGGGGACACUGUUUAAUGGUAGGCCAAAAUAUGAUGUUAGUAAAUUAAUGUUUAUACUGUGCCCCUUUAGUUAUGUAUUUGCUCUGGUUAAUUCAUCAGCACACAAUAUACAGUAGACAAGUAGAUUGCUUGUCUUCAUCUACAUUUCCUCCUCUAUGAGGGGAUUUUCAUUAUAUUCAAUCAUACCUAAUGUCGGGGAUUAUUAAAGUAUUUCUAUUCUAUAUUCUCCCUAUAUCUGUGUAUCUUGUGACAUUGUGGUUUAUCACAAUUUCCCUGUUGGGCAAAGAGGAGCUAAAACAACAAAGACCCACAUAAAUACAGUUUGGCAUCUCAAUCCUGUGAUGAUAGCCUUACCUGUUUUCCUCACAGCCAUCGGAUAAGCGGCAGAUUUAUACUGCAUAUAGAUAUUUUAUGGAGCACAGAAAUGUGCACAGAAAUGUGUACUUAAUAAUGUGUUCUUUGUGUUAACGUAUUUUGAGAUUGCUGCUGCUCCAGUAGCUCUGAUCGACUUCUCUUCAGCAAAAUCUAAAAAAAUAAAGCUUGACCAUUCCAUUGAUGGCAGGACAACUGAAAACAAGUUAUGGAUGCAAACAUGAAGCAAAAGCCAGAGGAGCAUAUGAGAAGCUGAUGGUUCGGGAGCAUGCAGGCUUCUCCUGUAUGGACAGUGGUCUCUGGCUGAACCCCAAGUGGCCAUACAUGGGGUCCUCCCCUGAUGGGAUUGUCGCUUGUGACUGUCACGGAACUGGCAUCUGUGAGAUUAAGGAUACAUUAUAGUCUCUGCUGUAGUAAAUUCCCUAAAUCCCGAGUACGAGUGGAGUCUCAAGUCCUAAUAUUAGAUAAAAUAGUAUCUAAUGUAUAGUAUAGACCAUUUCAGCAGUAACAACAUAAACAAGCGGCUGUCGCGGUCCGCACAUAACCUUCUGUAAACUCCGCUAAGAAUAAAUAACAACAAAGUUCUUUAAAGGUCAUGUUCUUCCUGAUACCAUUUUUUAAACCCUAGUUAAUGUGUAAUGUUGCUAUAAUAGCAUAAAUAAUACCUGUAAAAUGAUAAAGCUCAAAGUUCACUGCCAGGCUAUAUAUUUUCUUCAAUAGAAUUCCUCUUUAAAAUCCUACAACAUAUGGCAGGUUUGGACUACAGCCCUCUUUUUCCUGCUUUAAUGACGUCAGUAAAACAGUUCGUUGACUAAACUCCGCCCACAGGAAUACGUCAGUCACCAGCUUUGGCUCAAAUGGCUCUGCUAAGCUAAGCUGCUAUCGAAUCACAGCACACUAAACAAACUACAUAAUCAGAACUCGAUACGUAUUUCUGAAAGAGAGACUUCACAUAACAAGGAAGACAUCAGCCUGUUUUGAGGACAGUGAAAACAGCGCUAUACAGAUAAGUAAAUUGUGUGAAAAGUACCGCGUUUUUUUACACGUGAAACAUGAACACAUGUUAUAUUGCCCACUAUAAACACAAUCAAAGCUUCAAAAUCACAGACAGAACGGGAGCUUUAAACGUAGUUUAUCGUUUAAAAAACGAAACCGGAAGUAAGGUUCGGAUCCAGACGUGUAUCACGUGCGUCCGAUGAAACCGUCUAUAUCCUCUAGAAUCAGCGGACUAAAAAAGCCAGGAGGGUUUCUCUCCUUGGGGGGGGGGGUUAACCCCUUGUUGAGUCAGCUGGCAUUGGCUUAAAG